AUUGAACGCUGGCGGCAUGCUUUACACAUGCAAGUCGAACGGCAGCGCGGGCUUCGGCCUGGCGGCGAGUGGCGAACGGGUGAGUAAUGCAUCGGAACGUGCCCAGUAGUGGGGGAUAGCCCGGCGAAAGCCGGAUUAAUACCGCAUACGACCUGAGGGUGAAAGCGGGGGACCGAAAGGCCUCGCGCUAUUGGAGCGGCCGAUGUCGGAUUAGCUAGUUGGUGGGGUAAAGGCUUACCAAGGCGACGAUCCGUAGCUGGUCUGAAAGGACGACCAGCCACACUGGGACUGAGACACGGCCCAGACUCCUACGGGAGGCAGCAGUGGGGAAUUUUGGACAAAGGGGGCAACCCUGAUCCAGCCAUGCCGCGUGCGGGAAGAAGGCCUUCGGGUUGUAAACCGCUUUUGUUCGGGAAGAAAUCCUCUGGGCUAAUACCCCGGGGGGAUGACGGUACCGGAAGAAUAAGCACCGGCUAACUACGUG
rnacentral:rRNA from 1 species